AGUACCUAUAUUUCUAACCAAAGGUUUGACCUCUAACAGCUAGACAUGGGUGAAAUUGGAUACCAAGCUUAAUGGUUUACCUACAGCAUCAUAGGAAAAUGGCAAUGAUAAAAUGGGAGAGAAUGGAUUGAUUAUUGCUGCUUGAGCCCAUACAGAAAUAGGGCCUUGGAGUUGCUGGAUGCCAUUGAUUGCUAUCUAUUCAUUCUCACAACAACUUUAAGGAAAAUGCAGCCAAGAGGAGAUAUACUCCCAGGAUGAAGUUGUUCUUUGAAGUUUCCUUAUCUGCCUAAAGACUGGACCUGCCAAAAAGAAAACAAUUACUGCUGGUCCCUUCCCUGAGUUUUCAAUAACUGAACUCACAUGACAGGAGGAAACACUGAAGUCAGUAAACACUCCUGGAUAGACUUGUCACAAACCACUGUAGGUUCUGUGGGCCCAGCAGAUUUUGUCCCAGGCCUUUGUAUGUUCUUCGAGCCCAUUGACUUCCCCUAAAAAUCAUUUACUAUGCCCCUAAAAUCAUCCAGACUUCCUCAUCUCCCUUUUCCCCUAAGAAGGGUGUAUAACCUGUACCCCAUUGCAUAGUGGGGUAAUCACUCUGUGAUCUUCCCUCAUGCACAUCAAUAAAUUUAUAUGCUUUUUUCUUUUAAUCUGC
ensembl:lncRNA novel transcript